CGGGAAAUGGCUCAGUUUGGGAGAACACCUGGUUUUGUACCAGGGGGUCGCAGGGUCGCAGCCUGCUUUUCCGA
rnacentral:tRNA from 1 species